rnacentral:rRNA from 1 species
ACCUGCCCAUUGGAAUCUAAAAGGCCGCGGUAUUAUGACCGUGCUAAGGUAGCAUAAUCAUUAGUCUUUUAAUUGGAGGCUGGUAUGAAUGGUUGGACAAGAAAUAAGCUGUCUUAAAUAAAAAUAUUGAAUUUAACUUUUAAGUGAAAAGGCUUAAAUUUUCUAAGGGGACGAUAAGACCCUAUAAAACUUUAUAUUUUAAAAUAAUAAUUAAUUUUUAUAUAGAAGAUUUAUUUUUAAAUAUUUUAUUGGGGUGAUAAAGAUAAAAUGUGAGAUAACUGUCUUUUUUUUUUUACAAUUAAUAUUUGAGUAAAAGAUCUUAACAAAGGAAAUAAGAGAUUAAGUUACUUUAGGGAUAACAGCGUAAUUUUCUUUAAGAGUUCUUAUCAACAAGAAAGUUUGCGACCUCGAUGUUGAAUUAAAAGUUCUUUAUAGAGUAGAUAUUAUAAUAGAGGGUCUGUUCGACCCUUAAAAUUUUACGUG